rnacentral:rRNA from 1 species
GCUAUACAUGCAAGUCGAACGCUUUGUGGUUCAACUGAUUUGAAGAGCUUGCUCAGAUAUGACGAUGGACAUUGCAAAGAGUGGCGAACGGGUGAGUAACACGUGGGAAACCUACCUCUUAGCAGGGGAUAACAUUUGGAAACAGAUGCUAAUACCGUAUAACAAUGACAACCGCAUGGUUGUUAUUUAAAAGAUGGUUCUGCUAUCACUAAGAGAUGGUCCCGCGGUGCAUUAGCUAGUUGGUAAGGUAAUGGCUUACCAAGGCGAUGAUGCAUAGCCGAGUUGAGAGACUGAUCGGCCACAAUGGGACUGAGACACGGCCCAUACUCCUACGGGAGGCAGCAGUAGGGAAUCUUCCACAAUGGGCGAAAGCCUGAUGGAGCAACGCCGCGUGUGUGAUGAAGGGUUUCGGCUCGUAAAACACUGUUGUAAGAGAAGAAUGACAUUGAGAGUAACUGUUCAAUGUGUGACGGUAUCUUACCAGAAAGGAACGGCUAAAUACGUGCCAGCAGCCGCGGUAAUACGUAUGUUCCAAGCGUUAUCCGGAUUUAUUGGGCGUAAAGCGAGCGCAGACGGUUAUUUAAGUCUGAAGUGAAAGCCCUCAGCUCAACUGAGGAAUUGCUUUGGAAACUGGAUGACUUGAGUGCAGUAGAGGAAAGUGGAACUCCAUGUGUAGCGGUGAAAUGCGUAGAUAUAUGGAAGAACACCAGUGGCGAAGGCGGCUUUCUGGACUGUAACUGACGUUGAGGCUCGAAAGUGUGGGUAGCAAACAGGAUUAGAUACCCUGGUAGUCCACACCGUAAACGAUGAGUGCUAGGUGUUUGAGGGUUUCCGCCCUUAAGUGCCGCAGCUAACGCAUUAAGCACUCCGCCUGGGGAGUACGACCGCAAGGUUGAAACUCAAAGGAAUUGACGGGGACCCGCACAAGCGGUGGAGCAUGUGGUUUAAUUCGAAGCAACGCGAAGAACCUUACCAGGUCUUGACAUCCCUUGACAACUCCAGAGAUGGAGCGUUCCCUUCGGGGACAAGGUGACAGGUGGUGCAUGGUUGUCGUCAGCUCGUGUCGUGAGAUGUUGGGUUAAGUCCCGCAACGAGCGCAACCCUUAUUACUAGUUGCCAGCAUUCAGUUGGGCACUCUAGUGAGACUGCCGGUGACAAACCGGAGGAAGGUGGGGAUGACGUCAAAUCAUCAUGCCCCUUAUGACCUGGGCUACACACGUGCUACAAUGGCGUAUACAACGAGUUGCCAACCCGCGAGGGUGAGCUAAUCUCUUAAAGUACGUCUCAGUUCGGAUUGUAGGCUGCAACUCGCCUACAUGAAGUCGGAAUCGCUAGUAAUCGCGGAUCAGCAAGCCU